rnacentral:lncRNA from 1 species
CUCCGCUCUCGCUCUCCGUGAUUUAUUACUUGCCCUGCUGCUUCUGACAAACUAUUUGUAGGAAAAUGAGAUUUGGUCCGCGCUGGAUGGCUCCUCUGGGAGGCAGGCGUGGGGGUCGGGUGUCGGAGGCCCCGUGCGCCCCCCCACCCCCCACCAGAGCCCACGGCGCUCACGGAGCUCUUUAAGAUAAAUGAGCAAAAUUAAGAGACUCACUGGGGGAAGAAAACACUGGAUGGGAGCGAGCGAGAGCGGAUGGUACUUGGUUUCCUCCCAGAAAUGCAUCCACGUGCGCCCCACUGGGGCCUCCCCCAUCUGCUGCAGACUCCAGGGAACUUCCUCCCCUCAAAGACGAACUUCCAGCCCUGGAGCAUGUUUCUUCCUUUCCUGGGAUGUGGCGCUGAAAAGGGCAGAAACCUCUAGUAAGGCACAAGCAACAGAUUGGGGGUGGAGCAGCAGGUCUCUUUGGAGGUGGCCUGGAAGAAACCGGACAGAGAGGAUGGGAAGGGGAGAAACAGAAGAGUGUGACGAGAUCAUGAAGGAAAGAGGAGGCGUCUACUGAAUGUAAGGUAGAGCCAAAGGCAUCUAUUGAUGACUGAAGAAGAGGCAUGAAUAUGACAAAAACAGGAAGCAUCUGUUUCCACCAGUCACCAGCAAGCGGAGGAUCGUAUAAGGACACCCUUCAGUGUCAGUGUGCUUCAUUAUGCUUUUGGAUGUGUUAGUAAAAAUUCUCCGGAUUUGGAGGUGCGAGUCAGAGCCAGAUUCCUGACUAAAUGGAGGGAUGCAAUGAGAAAUUCAUAAUAAGAAAUUAUUUUGUUGUCAUCUAUCAUGGUUACAUCAAAAACAGUAUUGCUGGCCACCGCGCCGGCGAGCGCCGCCAGGGAGGCAGCGGCUGGAGGAGCGGACGGGCCCCGCAGGGCCCGAGGGCAAGGAGCAGCCGCCUGCCUUGGCCUCCCAAAGUGCCGAGAUUGCAGCCUCUGCCCGGCUGCCACCCCGUCUGGGAAGUGAGGAGUGUCUCUGCCUGGCCGC